GGCUUUAUUUAAAUUGUUUUGAAAACAAUUUUUAAGAAAUUCUUUAAAGUCU
rnacentral:tRNA from 1 species